rnacentral:rRNA from 1 species
CGCGCAGGCGGUCCUUUAAGUCUGAUGUGAAAGCCCACGGCUCAACCGUGGAGGGUCAUUGGAAACUGGGGGACUUGAGUGCAGAAGAGGAGAGCGGAAUUCCACGUGUAGCGGUGAAAUGCGUAGAGAUGUGGAGGAACACCAGUGGCGAAGGCGGCUCUCUGGUCUGUAACUGACGCUGAGGCGCGAAAGCGUGGGGAGCGAACAGGAUUAGAUACCCUGGUAGUCCACGCCGUAAACGAUGAGUGCUAAGUGUUAGAGGGUUUCCGCCCUUUAGUGCUGAAGUUAACGCAUUAAGCACUCCGCCUGGGGAGUACGGUCGCAAGACUGAA